GUACCUUCAACGCCGCGCUAAGACGGAGCAGCAGCGGCUGACGACAGGUGUUCAACAGGUGAUGUGUCGUAGAAUGAACCCCUGACAGGAGCGCGGUUCAAAGUUCAUAACAAGGAGAAAUAAUCAGAGUUUUCUUCAACAUCAGGUGGAUUCUAAAGUGUUUAAUGAUAUAAUUCAGACUAUUCAGAUAAACUGAAAACAAAAGUUCAGGUUCAGGUCCCGGUCCAGGACCAGGUUCAGGUUCAGGUCCUGGUCCAGGUCCAGAUUCAGGUUCAGGUCCAUCCUCUGAGACCGGUUUAACC